CAGCAGCCGCGGUAAUACGUAGGUGGCAAGCGUUGUCCGGAAUUAUUGGGCGUAAAGGGCUCGCAGGCGGUUUCUUAAGUCUGAUGUGAAAGCCCCCGGCUCAACCGGGGAGGGUCAUUGGAAACUGGGAAACUUGAGUGCAGAAGAGGAGAGUGGAAAUCCACGUGUAGCGGUGAAAUGCGUAGAGAUGUGGAGGAACACCAGUGGCGAAGGCGACUCUCUGGUCUGUAACUGACGCUGAGGAGCGAAAGCGUGGGGAGCGAACAGGAUUAGAUACCCCCGUAGUCCCUGUCUCUUAUAC
rnacentral:rRNA from 1 species